UAGUAUAGUAGGAAAACGAGGCACAACAGGAAGAAGAAAUAUCAUGACUGUAUAACUCUGCUUCGCGACGAACACACACACACACACACACACACACACACACACACACACACAUACACACACACAGAGAGAGAGAGAGAGAGAGAGAGAGAGAGAGAGAGAGAGAGAGAGAGAGAGAGAGAGAGAGAGAGAGAGAGAGAGAGAGAGAGAGAGAGAGAGAGAGAGAGAGAGAGAGAGAGAGAGAGAGAGAGAGAGAGAGAGAGACGGAUAGGUGGGCAGACCAGUCAUGCCGGAUUUCAAUAGCGAACAGGUGUAUGAAUAAACAAUGUAAUGGAGAGAGAGAGAGAGAGAGAGAGAGAGAGAGAGAGAGAGAGAGAGAGAGAGAGAGAGAGAGAGAGAGAGAGAGAGAGAGAGAGAGAGAGAGAGAGAGAGAAGGCGGCCAGGGAGUAUUUGGGUGACAGUUGUUGUCUCUGCUCACACCUUCAACACGGAGUUGCCUAAACGGUGAAGGAGGAGGAGUGGAGGGGGGGAAAGGAGGAGGAAGAGAGGAGGAGGGAGUGAGGGAGGAUCGAAAGGAGUUUGGGGAAGAAGGGAAAAACUGAGACACGGAGAGAAGUUACGGGGAGCUCGUUAAAGGAGGGAGAUAUGGGAGAUAAAGUGGAGUAAGGGGAGGGAGGAAAGAGAAGUGAGGGGAUGGAAGGAAGGAAGGAAGGAGGAAUGGAAACAAGUAUGAGGAGGUAAAGAGGAGUGAGGGGAUGGAAGGAAGGAAGGAAGGAGGAAUGGAAACAAGUAUGAGGAGAUAAAGAGGAGUGAGGGUAGAGACAGAGGAAGAAUGGAGGAAAGGAGUGAUAUAUACGAAUAGAGAGGAGUGCAUGGUAAGAUAAAGGAGUGGGGUGAAACAAUAGGCAUGGAAAGAUGAAUGUAGGGGAAGAAUGGAGGGAAGGAGGAGGUAGAAGAUGGAGGGAUGCAAGGAAGAUAGGGAGAGAAGGUGAAAAGUAAAUGUGUAAAGAGAGACGGAAGAAGGAAUUAAUAGGUAGGUAAGAGGAGGAGGGAGAGGAGAACUGUAGGGAAGGUGGGGGUUAGGGGGUAGGAAGGUGCGGGAAGGGGGAAAGGGUAGGGAGAGAGGGAGCGAAUUAUCGGGAGGUAAGAAGGGAGGGAUGGGUGAAUGGCCUUUACUACCUAGAAAAGAUGUAGAUGGUAAAGGAUGUUAGACAGAAGAAUGAAAACUUUUGAUGGACGUAGCUGUGUGUGUGUGUGUGUGUGUGUGUGUGUGUGUGUGUGUGUGUGUGUGUGUGUGUGUGUGUGUGUGUGUGUGUGUGUGUAUUUUCAUAAGCUUGUGUUAGGAUAGAAUUACGUAUGUUCGGUGUUUAUUUACAGUUUGGGUGCCUUCGCUAGUAUCACCCAGUUUAACUAAGCCACCCUUGACGUUGGGGGCGAUGAACCGCACACACGCAAUCUUUGACCACUCGGCGAUGGUCUAGCAAAGCCGUUAGCGCUAAUAGGAAAAAAAAAAAAAAAACAUUACCCUUAUUAUUUCCCCGCUCGUCCGAUGGUGGCACAGAUGAAGAACUGGUCGAGAUUGAUAGAUGAACCUGGCUGUUAUAUUCUUUCCUUCUCUCUGUUGUACACUAAGUCAGUAUAGAAUGUUGUUGGUAAUGGUGGUAGUGUUACAUAAGAACAACAACCUUCGAGUCUAACAUAAAUCUACGGAACUAAACGUAUGAAGUGGUGACGGAGUAAUUUUAUUUAUUUUUUUUUUUUUUUUACAGCAGAGGAGUCAGUUCAAGGGCAUAAAAAAGGUAACAAAUGUAAGAAAAAAAAAAAGCCCGAUACUCACUGCUCCUAAAAAGAGUUAGAGGAGUGGCCGAAAGAUAGGUCAAUUUCGGGAGGAGAGGUGUCCUGAUACCUGAACCUGGCCGUCACUUUUCUUAUACACAUCUGGUCAGUGGAUAUUGGCGAUAACGUUGUUGGUGGAAGUGGUGUAUAAGAAAACUCUCGAGUCACCAUUAACCUACAGAGCUGUAUAAAAAAAAGUGGCAGAACAAUGAACCUGGCUGUCAGUUUCUUAACCUCUCUCAGCUGUACCCUCACUCCCUCAGCCAGUAUAAAGAAUAGCGGUAAGUUGGUGAUGUUGGAUGUACUGUGCAAGUAAAACAACUUUCGAAUCUAACAUAAUCACAUAGAACUAGAGGCGAUAAUACCACCACCGGCAUGUGUCGUUCAAUAUACAGGCCAGUGUGGGGAGUGGGGAGUGUGGCGGCGGUGGUGGCAAACGUGAACUUUAUCGUAAGGGUUUAACAAAGCUACAGUACGGUGCCACUAGAGCCAGGAAUGUCUGUCGUCAGGUGAGUCUGGGGAAAUGGAGCCCCGGAGAAAUAUGUCACGUUAUCGCCGGAGACAGGACGAGCAGAUAGGAGAGAUAAUCACUGUUAAAGAUACUUGAAGGUAUUCCUCGGGGGCGACAACCACUGCACGCCACGUAUAGAUGACGAUGACCAUUACGUUGAAUUGACUUGCUUUCAUGUCACACAAGAGCAUGCGGUUUUGAUGCAAGGGAAGAAGGGAGUGCUCAACUGCUGAUGUAAUUGUUCAUCAUUAUUUCUAUGAGACGACAACGGCUGCACUUCACUCAUAUUGGACAAUGACUGUUUAAAUUAACUUACUUGGCUUCAUUUAAUCCAUGGACAUGCGGGAAAGAUGUGAUCGCUGGUAUAAUUGUUUGUUUAUCUGUAUAAGAAUGAAACGUAAACAUCUGUGCGUCAUUUACAAGAGAUUGAACUUUUAGAUUAAAUUUAUUAUUUCGUUUCGUUUUGCAUAGUGACAGACAGAUCUAAAAUUUGGCACAAGGGAAGAGAUGCUCGAAGGUAUACACACUUUAAAUUAUUCCCGUGAAGUGAGGAAAGACAUGAACAUACGAAUACGGCCAACACGAAUCAGGAAUAGUUCGUUGGAAAAGACGGAUGCGUUUCUCCUACUACGGGAACUGUAAACAACAAAAUGAACAACAACCUCUUAGCAUGUCGAGGGGCCAACACAGAAGUGGAAAGGGAACUGACACAGUAGAGGGAAAACAAACACUCGCCCUUCAAGACGUCCAAGUUUCAUGAUUCAGGAAAGGGGAAGCAGGCAUACUCUUCCUUUUUAUAGUGUGGUGUCCUCGAGCUGCCUUCGUUACUGUGAAAAAUUUAUAUACAGUAGACGGAAGCAAACAUACUCAUCCUUUUUUAAUAUCCUUUUAUAUACAGUAGACGGAAGCAAACAUACUCAUCCUUUUUAAUAUCCUUUUAUAUACAGUAGACGGAAGCAAACAUACUCAUCCUUUCUUAAUAUCUUUUCUUUAGGGGGGUGGGGCCCUGAGUUGCCUCCCUUACUGUUAUGAAUAUGGAGUAGGAGGGAAGCAUACACUCUUUUUAUAACAUCUCACGUAAUUGACUGCUCUUUCGGCCACCUCUUCGGAUUCUUUACAGGAGCAGUGAGUAGCGGGCUUUUUUAUAUUGUUUCCUUUUCUGUGUGCCCUUGUGCUGUCUCCUUUGCUGUAAAAAAAAUAAUAUGUUCGUUCAGUGAAACAGGCGACGCUUUACCCCCUUAAAAACAAAUUCCUUAAACAUAUCCAGCGUCCAAAACUAUGAAAAACACUGUCAUUUCUAAUCAACAUACCGGAUGCGAGGGAAUGUCCGACACGAUAACAGUUUGCAGGCUGAAAAUGACACAGAAAUUUCAGUGCAAUCAGUUACCUCACUUGCUAUCGCCUCUAAAACCAUCCAUUAUCAGACAGCCCAACGAAUCACAACACUUUUCAUACACCUGCGCCUUCCUUUACCUUGAUAAUAUAUACAGGUGGGUAAACUGGAUAUAUGUGUACAAAUAUUGGUGCGGGUUGACUAAUUGUGUUUGCUAAGCGA